rnacentral:rRNA from 1 species
GUGAGGAAUAUUGGUCAAUGGGCGAGAGCCUGAACCAGCCAAGUCGCGUGAAGGAAGAAGGAUCUAUGGUUCGUAAACUUCUUUUGCAGGGGAAUAAAGUGCAGGACGUGUCCUGUUUUGUAUGUACCCUGAGAAUAAGGAUCGGCUAACUCCGUGCCAGCAGCCGCGGUAAUACGGAGGAUCCGAGCGUUAUCCGGAUUUAUUGGGUUUAAAGGGUGCGUAGGUGGUUUGAUAAGUCAGCGGUGAAAGUUUGCAGCUUAACUGUAAAAAUGCCGUUGAAACUGUCGGACUUGAGUGUAAAUGAGGUAGGCGGAAUGCGUGGUGUAGCGGUGAAAUGCAUAGAUAUCACGCAGAACUCCGAUUGCGAAGGCAGCUUACUAAGCUACAACUGACACUGAAGCACGAAAGCGUGGGGAUCAAACAGGAUUAGAAACCCCAGUAGUCC